GGCAGAGCCGCGGGGGUGACGAACGGCCCCUGAGUGACAGCGGCGCGCGGGCUCCGCGGGGGGCGGGGCUGUGGGAGAGGUUGCUUCCCGCGAGGUCUUUCUGAUCCCUGCAGCUCCGUCCUGCUGCCGGGGCGCUGCAGGUGUUUUGUGCUGUGGGGUAGUUUGUUUACUUGGGGAACAGCUGCGGGCACCACUCUCUUUGUUUGGACCAGCUUGAUUUCGCCUGUGUAUAGAAAGGUUUCCUUGGUCCUGAUUCACUAGUGUAUGAUGUAAUGGAGAGGGGAAUAUGGCUGCAACAGGACUCUAAGCAGAAGGAGUCAAUCAGUAGGUAAAAGCAAUGGCAAGGAAAAACAAGGACUGCUUUGGGAAACAGGAUUUUUUCUGGUCUCUCUCGGGCAUUAGGAAAUCUAAUGCUAUGAGUACAUUACCAUUAUGGAUGAACACCAAACAGCCUUUCCCCCAAAGAGACACGAAAUUCAAAAACCUUAUUAAAAUAACCUCUGAAACUAUA